rnacentral:lncRNA from 1 species
GAUGUAGAGCUGGCCGGUAAGGAGCUAGGAUCAUUGUAGUUUCUACUUCCUAGAUGUGAUUAAUACGUUGCAAAUUGAAAUUUAAGCAAGAAGAGGCUUCGUGCCGUGCAAUCUUUAUUGUUUACCUGAACAGUCUGCACUCUGUGGCAUGUUGUUGCUACAUGUCAUGUCACAUUUGUUUCAGUUUUCAUUUAUCACAGCGUUAAACAAAAUUGCAUAGUCAUUUGAAAUCAAAAUUGCUUGUGAUUACAUCUGUGCCAAAGUGAGAGCCAAAGUCUUAGUGUUUCCAUUAUCCAUCUAACUGAAUUUUGUAACCAAGUAUUCUAAGUUUUGAUUUAAAUAGAAGUAGAGAGUAAGAUUUAUGUGAAAACUUUUCACUUGAAGGGAAAGCAAGUGCAAAGGCAAUCCUGAUGGAUGCAGAAAAGCAUAUUACAAGAAAUGGUAUACAUUAAUAUAAGAUAUAACAAGUCAUACUUGUGAAAAAAAUAGAGAAAAGAACACCAUUUACCUGCAUACUUUGGAGAUGCAAUAAGAGCUGCAGCUUCUAAACAGAUGCUUACAUCUUAAACCAAGAGAAGCUACCAACGAGGAAUUGACAAUACACACACCUCAAAUGUAUUCUAAAAAGUAUGACAGUCUUUUUCAAUUAGGAAGCAUUGGAACGGAUGAGCUCCAAAUGUAUUUUUUCAUCCAAGCACCUAUGAUUAGUCGCCAUUGGCUGCCGGAAUAAUAGUUGAACUGAUGCCUUAUAUAUUAGAUGAGAAAAUUAAGGAUGCAAUGAUCAGUAUAAGACCACUAUGUCAUAGAGCCAUGAAGAGUGAAUAUUGUGGUUACUGUUUCUACAAUAAUGGGGCAAUCGCCGCGCAAUAUGCGCUUAACAAUCACGAUCUUAAAAGGUCAUUAAUUGUGGAUUAGGAUAAUCAUCAUCGACAAGCUACUCAACAUAUGUUUUAUGACGAUAAAUUUAUUAUUUUUACCAAGUGCUAUCAAAACGGUGCAUUUUUGGCGUCACUCCAUGAGUCCGGCCAUCACAACAUCGGUCGUGGGGCCAUGACAUUUUCCCUUUAUCGACAAACGUAAACUGAAACUUUCCAUAGUUCGCUUGCUGCGGAAUUCUGUGACCUUUCAGUUCGACUUUAAUUGUCCCGAAGUGACUUUGACGGCCAUUUGAGUUUCUUUCUCACGGUUCUGCAGCCAAAACUUUAAUCUGAGACUUUGCUCGUCAUGCUCGUGAUGGUGAUCGCCGGAAAAAUGGUAGGGACCUAUCCCUAGAUGGCCUAACCCGAUUUGUUGACCUUCAGCUGCACGUGUGUGUGUUUUACUUGUUUUCAAACUGAAUAUUGCAGUGCAAGUUGUGCAAAAUGGAGCCACAAAAAAGUGUCCCUUCAAAAGUAAAUUUAACUAGCAAUGUAGUUGGAAAUAAUAGAAAUAGGGGACGGAGCGAGGAAGGAAAAGAAAAACAAAAACGAAGGAGGAACAGAUACAAAUUGCAAAAUGCAACUCCAUUUGUUAAUGUUCCUUCCACAGAAGUCGACAAAAUGGAAGAUCCAAUCGGCGACGGCGAUCCCUUGAAAAUUGAUUUAAUGCCAUCCACGUCUGCAGAUGAUAAUUCUCAUGAAGCAGACGUGGUGGCAGAUGAAUCUUUCAUCGUAGAUGAAAUUGUAAGUGUAAGGAUCCAUUGGAAAUCUGGAAACAGCCAGAAGAUGCAGUUCUGUUCAUUGACCUAGCCAACAAUAUUACGCGUCACAGCAAUAAAGAAUAGAUUCUGGAGCUAAUUAAAGCUGACAUCCAAAAGGAUAUCCAUCUAUUGUCGGAACAACUGGAACAAAUCAAUGCAAACUGUUCCACUUUGUUUGAAAAAUUCAAUAAAUUUAAUCAGCUUUUAGAGGGUUGCACUUGGAUUCCGCUCCACGACUCGAAUAACACUAUUCCAUGAUGAUAUUAAAGUUGCAUUGCAAAUUUGUUUGUAAUUUGUUAACCACCACUGUCUUCCCUUCGCAUGCAAUACAAAGAAGUUGACAUAA